rnacentral:rRNA from 1 species
UCAAGCUACAAAGGGCGCAUGGUGAAUGCCUUGGCAUCAGGAGCCGAUGAAGGACGUGAUAAGCUGCGAUAAGCUUCGGGUAGGCGCACAUAGCCUGAGAUCCGAAGAUCUCCGAAUGAGGAAACUCACAUGGGAAACCCCAUGUAUCAUUAAGUGAAUACAUAGCUUAAUGAAGGUAACCCAGGGAACUGAAACAUCUAAGUACCUGGAGGAAGAGAAAGAAAAAUCGAUUUUCUUAGUAGCGGCGAGGCGAAAGGGGAAAAGCCCAAACCGGAAACUUGUUUCCGGGGUUGUGGACAGAACAUAAAGAUUGGAGGCAUGUAACGAAGAGAACUGGAAAGUUCCACCGUAGAAGGUAAUAGUCCUGUAGAUGAAACGGGAAAUCAAUCAGUUCUGAUCCAGAGUACCACGAGACACGUGAAACCUUGUGGGAAGCAGGGAGGACCACCUCCCAAGGCUAAAUACUACCUGAUGACCGAUAGUGAAGCAGUACCGUGAGGGAAAGGUGAAAAGAACCCCGGGAGGGGAGUGAAAUAGAACCUGAAACCGUGUGCCUACAACCGCUCAGAGCCCCUUAUGAGGGUGAUGAGGUGCUUUUUGUAGAACGAGCCAACGAGUUACGGUAUGUAGCAAGGUUAAGUACUUAAGGUACGGAGCCGAAGGGAAACCGAGUCUGAAUAGGGCGACUAGUUGCAUGCCGUAGACCCGAAACCGGGUGACCUAUCCAUGGCCAGGUUGAAGCGAGGGUAAAACCUCGUGGAGGACCGAACCACGUUGCUGUUGAAAAAGCAUGGGAUGAGCUGUGGAUAGCGGAGAAAUUCCAAUCGAACCCGGAGAUAGCUGGUUCUCUCCGAAAUAGCUUUAGGGCUAGCGUCGAGUAUGAGUAGUGGAGGUAGAGCACUGAAUGGGCUAGGGGGCAUAGCGCUUACCGAACCUUAUCAAACUCCGAAUGCCACAUACUUUGAGCUCGGCAGUCAGACUACGAAUGAUAAGAUCCGUAGUCAAAAGGGAAACAGCCCAGAUCGUCAGCUAAGGUCCCAAAGUGUAAGUUAAGUGGGAAAGGAUGUGAGAUUUCUAAGACAACUAGGAUGUUGGCUUAGAAGCAGCCAUUCAUUAAAAGAGUGCGUAAUAGCUCACUAGUCGAGAGAUCUUGCGCCGAAAAUGUAACGGGGCUAAACUUACCACCGAAGCUACGGGCUUGAACUUAGUUCAAGCGGUAGGAGAGCGUCGUAACCGGGCUGAAGUCGUACCGUAAGGAGCGGUGGACUGGUUACGAGUGAGAAUGUUGGCAUCAGUAGCGAGAUGUGGGUGAGAAUCCCACAGGCCGAAAACCUAAGGUUUCCUCAGGAAGGUUCGUCCGCUGAGGGUUAGUCGGGACCUAAGCCGAGGCCGAAAGGCGUAGGUGAUGGAUAACUGGUUGAUAUUCCAGUACCACUACCAUCGUUAUUAUCGAUGGCGUGACGCAGGAGGAUAGUGUGUGCUAGCUAUUGGAUGCUAGUCUAAGCGUUUAGGCAGUGAGAGUAGGCAAAUCCGCUCUCAUAAUGCUGAGACGUGAUGGGGAAGGUUCUACGGAACCGAAGUACAUGAUUCCACGCUGCCAAGAAAAGCGUCUAGAGAGAGAAGUAGUGCCCGUACCGCAAACCGACACAGGUAGGUGAGGAGAGAAUCCUAAGGCCGGCGGAAGAAUUACAGUUAAGGAACUCGGCAAAUUGACCCCGUAAGUUCGCGAGAAGGGGUGCCUACGAGAGUAGGCCGCAGAGAAUAGGCCCAAGCAACUGUUUAGCAAAAACACAGGUCUCUGCUAAAGCGUAAGCUGAUGUAUAGGGGCUGACGCCUGCCCGGUGCUGGAAGGUUAAGGGGAACACUUAGCGCAAGCGAAGGUGUGAACUUAAGCCCCAGUAAACGGCGGCCGUAACUAUAACGGUCCUAAGGUAGCGAAAUUCCUUGUCAGGUAAGUUCUGACCCGCACGAAUGGCGUAAUGACUUGGGCACUGUCUCAACUGUAAAUCCGGCGAAGUUGUAGUGCGAGUGAAGAUGCUCGCUACCCGCGAUUGGACGGAAAGACCCCGUAGAGCUUUACUGUAGCUUAGCAUUGAGUUUUGGUAUUGUCUGUACAGGAUAGGUGGGAGACUAGGAAACCAGGGCGUCAGCCUUGGUGGAGUCAACCUUGGGAUACCACCCUGACAGUACUGAAAUUCUAACUGGCGGCCAUGAAUCUGGUCACAGGACAUUGUUAGGUGGGCAGUUUGACUGGGGCGGUCGCCUCCUAAAAAGUAACGGAGGCGCCCAAAGGUUCCCUCAGAACGGUCGGAAAUCGUUCGAAGAGUGCAAAGGCAGAAGGGAGCCUGACUGCGACACCCACAAGUGGAGCAGGGACGAAAGUCGGGCUUAGUGAUCCGGUGGUACCUCGUGGGAGGGCCAUCGCUCAACGGAUAAAAGCUACCUCGGGGAUAACAGGCUGAUCUCCCCCAAGAGUCCACAUCGACGGGGAGGUUUGGCACCUCGAUGUCGGCUCGUCGCAUCCUGGGGCUGAAGUAGGUCCCAAGGGUUGGGCUGUUCGCCCAUUAAAGCGGCACGCGAGCUGGGUUCAGAACGUCGUGAGACAGUUCGGUCCCUAUCCGUCGCGGGCGUAGGAAAUUUGAGAGGAGCUGUCCUUAGUACGAGAGGACCGGGAUGGACUGACCUCUGGUGUACCAGUUGUUCCGCCAGGAGCACAGCUGGGUAGCUAAGUCGGGAAUGGAUAAACGCUGAAAGCAUCUAAGCGUGAAGCCAACCUCAAGAUGAGAUUUCCCAUAGCGUAAGCUAGUAAGAUCCCUUGAAGAACACAAGGUUGAUAGGUCGGGGGUGUAAGCAUGGUAACAUGUUCAGCUGACCGAUACUAAUAGAUCGAGGGCUUGACCAA